CUAAAACCGAUGAUGGAAAAAAGACGCUUCAUACGUCUCCAGAGAGCCGAUGGUAGGUGCAAAUCGGCGACGUAAAGUGUGCUUGAGCGAUCCUGAGAUAUUUCGCUGAAUUUCAGUAGGCGUAAUCGGAUGAUAUCCGUUACCAAUCAUGGCCUGGAAAGGCCGUUUGAGGCUGCCUGUUAUGGCAGUGAAUAAGGGUGGUACCACGAAUAAUUCUCGUCCCUUAC
rnacentral:ncRNA from 1 species